rnacentral:rRNA from 1 species
CACGUAGGGGGCGAGCGUUGUCCGGAUUCAUUGGGCGUAAAGAGCUCGUAGGCGGCUCAGUAAGUCGGGUGUGAAACCCUCAGGCUCAACCUGGGGACGCCACUCGAUACUGCUGUGGCUAGAGUCCAGUAGAGGAGUGUGGAAUUCCCGGUGUAGCGGUGAAAUGCGCAGAUAUCUGGAGGAACACCGGUGGCGAAGGCGGCAUCCUGGACCAAUAUUGACGCUGAGGAGCGAAAGCCAGGGGAGCAAACGGG